UUUUGCAUUCAGUCCUCUGCUGAGAAGGCUUGAAAAGGCCUGAGCGACUCUUUUGUCUUCUUGGUUUCAAUGGAGAUGAUUCUCAUCGGUCAUGGAGCCAGCAGGAAAAUGAAGACUUGCAUGGUCAAAGGCUGGUGUGUGCUGUCCUGUUGUCUGUUGCCCAAUCACUGCUGGACUUUGGCGCCACGGCUUCAUGUGAUUAGAAGACCUGCACUGAUCACAGAUCCGAUCUCCACUCUUACCUUUGACUGUCUGUGUUGCACAUUAAACGAGUUCAGUGGUU